AAAGAAAAAAAAAGUUGAGUCCUGGAGUAAGACUUAUUUGGACUAAAAUACCAGUGUCACCGCUUAGAUGAUGACUUUGGUGAAGUUAUUGAACCCCUCCCGUCUUCAGUUUCCUCAUCUGGAAAAUAGCCUUCAACUUUUUUUUUUUUUCUUUUUUUCUGAGAUGAAGUCUUGCUCUUUCACCCAUGCUGUAGUGCAGUGGCGCCA
rnacentral:lncRNA from 1 species